AUACGUAGGUGGCAAACGUUGUCCGGAUUUACUGGGUGUAAAGGGCGUGUAGGCGGAGAUGCAAGUCAGGAGUGAAAUCUAGGGGCUCAACCCCUAAACUGCUUUUGAAACUGUAUCCCUUGAGUAUCGGAGAGGCAGGCGGAAUUCCUAGUGUAGCGGUGAAAUGCGUAGAUAUUAGGAGGAACACCAGUGGCGAAGGCGGCCUGCUGGACGACAACUGACGCUGAGGCGCGAAAGCGUGGGGAGCAAACAGGAUUAGAUACCCUGGUAGUCCACGCUGUAAACGAUGAAUACUAGGUGUGGGGGGACUGACCCCCUCCGUGCCGCAGUUAACACAAUAAGUAUUCCACCUGGGGAGUACGAUCGCAAGAUUGAAACUCAAAUGAAUUGACGGGG
rnacentral:rRNA from 1 species